rnacentral:rRNA from 1 species
GGCGCAGCCUGAUCCAGCCAUUCCGCGUGCAGAUGAAGGCCCUCGGGUUGUAAACUGCUUUUGUACGGAACGAAAAGGCCUGAGUUAAUACCUCGGGCUCAUGACGGUACCGUAAGAAUAAGCACCGGCUAACUACGUGCCAGCAGCCGCGGUAAUACGUAGGGUGCAAGCGUUAAUCGGAAUUACUGGGCGUAAAGCGUGCGCAGGCGGUGAUGUAAGACAGGUGUGAAAUCCCCGGGCUUAACCUGGGAACUGCAUUUGUGACUGAUCGCUGGGGUGCGGCAGAGGGGGAUGGAAUUCCGCGUGUAGCAGUGAAAUGCGUAGAUUGCGGAGGAACACCGAUGGCGAAGGCAAUCCCCUGGGCCUGCACUGACGCUCAUGCACGAAAGCGUGGGGAGCAAACAGGAUUAGAUACCCUGGUAGAAUCACUAGU